rnacentral:misc_RNA from 1 species
UAUAGGAGGUGUCCUGGCAGAGUUA